rnacentral:lncRNA from 10 species
GAGUGUAAGCUGCUAUAUGAAGGGAUCCACAAGACGAAUAAUUAAGGGGGACCUCUGAUCAACAGCCAGCAAGGAACUGAAUCCCUCAGACCCACAACUCACAAGAAACUGAAGCUGAAGCAGAUUCUUCCUCAGUCAAGCUUCAGGUGCCCAGCUGUAUUGGUAGAGGAGACCAACCACACCCUCCACAGCACAGCACCUGGAGAGGAACUGCUGCCAUGACCAUAGAGGACACCCUCUGGAUACAAUGCCAGACUUGAUGUGGGACUGACCAACCUAUGGACCCCAGGCACCACCACCCAGACCUGCUCAGCACCUGAAAGGGACCUCUGACCCAAGAGUUCGGUCAAUGCAUAUGUUGGCAGCCAGCUGCACAUCGCACCAAAUAUGAACUUCAAAUAGAAGAAAGCCUCAUUUGGAAGAAAGCUCAUGCACAGACUGUAAAUAUUUCAGAGCAGAUUGUGUCUCUGUAGAUUAACCGGAUACAGUGGCUUGCACCUGUGGUCUCAGCGACUUGGGCGACUGAAGCAAGAAGAUCACUUGAGCCUAGGAGU